ACACUUCCAAACACAGAGCCGUAAAAGUAACUGGCUAUAGCCAGUGAGAAAUAAUUUCUCUCUCCCGCCUACCCAACCCUGCCUGGGCCAACCCAGAGCACUUGAAGGCAGCCAGCCGCUGCGCUUCCUUAGGGGCGAGUUGAGCAACUCAGACUUGACCAGCCCAUUAAGUCCUGUCCAAGAACACAGGGGACCGGCUAAGGAGAAGUGGGACCUGGGCUCGGUUGCCAGGUUCACACUUUUCCCUCUCCAGCGGACCCAGCUUGGCACAGUUGCAGCAUGACUCUGUGGAACGGCGAGCUGCCUUUCUACCCCCAGCCCUGGCAUGCCCCGGGCUACAGCGUCCCAUUGCUCAUCGUCAUUCUGGUGUUCUUGGCCCUGGCCGCCAGCUUCCUGCUCAUCUUGCCUGGGAUCCGUGGUCACUCGCGCUGGUUCUGGCUGGUGAGAGUUCUUCUCAGUCUGUUCAUAGGCGCGGAAAUUGUGGCCGUGCACUUUAGCGCACAAUGGUCAGUGGGUGGGAUGAACACCAACACAUCCUACAAGGCCUUCAGUGCAGCAAGGGUCAGCGCUCACGUUGGUCUCCACGUCGGCCUGGGGGGAAUUAAUAUUACACUCACAGGGACCCCGGUGCAGCAGCUGAACGAGACCAUAGACUACAACGAGCACUUCAACUGGCGUCUGGGUGAGAACUAUGCCGAGGAGUACUCGGAGGCCCUGGAAAAGGGGCUGCCGGAUCCAGUUCUCUACUUGGCGGAGAAGUUCACCCCGAGCAGCCCCUGCGGGCUCUACCGCCAGUACCGCCUGGCGGGACACUACGCGUCCGCCACGCUGUGGGUGGCGUUCUGCUUCUGGCUCCUCUCCAACGCGCUGCUCUCCAUGCCGGUCCCGCUCUACGGAGGCCUGGCGCUCAUGACCACCGGCACCUUCACGCUCUUCUCCAUCUUCGCCUUCGCCUCCAUCUCCCGCGUGCCGCUCUGCCCGCUCCGCCUCGGCUCCUCCACGCUCGUCACUCACUACGGCGCCGCUUUUUGGGUCACCCUGGCCACCGGCAUCCUGUGCCUCCUCCUCGGAGUGGCGGUGGUGAGUCUCCACUACUCUCGACCCAGCGCUCUCCGCACCUUCUUGGACGGAAGUGUCAAGGACUGUGGUAGCCAGGCGAAAAGGAACUUGUCUCUCAUCCUGAACAACCCACUGCAUAAGCAGUUCGGAGCCCUGGACUUAACGACUAGUACUAACCUUUGAGGGUUAUUCAACCUCGGACUCCUAACCCCGCCUCGGCCCCCUGCAGGCCGGGUAGCAAUACCUGCUGGGCUCAGGCCAGGAGAGCUAGCUCCAGGAGGGUCACUACGCCGCGGGCGCAGGGAAAAGCAGGCGGCCUCAGACGUGCCACACGCCUGCGCCCGGGGAAAAAGGGUCUCCCAAGGUAAGAGCCAUCCCUCACCUUUGAGUGUAAUGUUGACUCCUCCCAGACCAACCCGCAGCCCCACAUCAGCGCUGAUCCGUUCGGAACUGAAGGCUUUGUAUGAUGUCUUGGUGCUGACCUGGCCCACGAACCACUCAGAACUGAAAUUCACAGCUGGGGUGGGGAGUUGGACAUAUGGGAACUCAGGAAGGUCCAGGCAUUCCUGGGUUAGAGUCAGAAGGAAAGCUACACGGGGUCUAGGUCUGUUUUGCUCAUAACUGUGUAUCUGUUAACUAGCUCAGGGUCUGGCU